AGAGCGAACGCUGGCGGCAGGCCUAACACAUGCAAGUCGAGCGCCCCGCAAGGGGAGCGGCAGACGGGAGAGUAACACGUGGGAACGUACCCUUCAGUUCGGAACAACCCAGGGAAACUUGGGCUAAUACCGAAUACGUCCGUAAGGAGAAAGAUUUAUCGCUGAAGGAUCGGCCCGCGUCUGAUUAGCUUGUUGGUGAGGUAAUGGCUCACCAAGGCUACGAUCAGUAGCUGGUCUGAGAGGAUGAUCAGCCUCACUGGGACUGAGACACGGCCCAGACUCCUACGGGAGGCAGCAGUGGGGAAUCUUGCGCAAUGGGCGAAAGCCUGACGCAGCAACGCCGCGUGGAGGACGAAUGCUUUCUGAGUUGUAAACUCCUUUCAGCAGGGACGAUUGUGACGGUACCUGCAGAAGAAGCACCGGCCAACUACGUGCCAGCAGCCGC
rnacentral:rRNA from 1 species